AUCAAAUCUAUGCUUCGUUCAGCAUCUUUCUCCAUUGCAGGCAGCACCAAAACAUCUGGAGUUAGAAGAAACAGGACACAUAGGCGGCAUCUCACAGGACGCAUAGGCGGAAUCUCACAUGUCCCAACUGAGUUCCUGGAGAGACACUGAUUCAGAAGCGAGACAAGGUCUACUGUGAACUCCACAGCUCUGCAGUGGACUCGAGACCUGAGGAAAUGGAGUGUUUGUAUGCGGCUUUGCAUUCCAGAAUGGGGCACAGCCAUGUUCAUGGGGAGCAGCAGCUUGCAGAUGCUGGCAAGAUUCCUGAGUAUCCAACACAGUUCACCUGAGAGGAAAACACAAUGUUUCUUCAGUCGUCAAGCAGCAGAAAGGGAGCACAUUAACCCCGCAUCCUUUCGGGUACGGAUGUGUCUGUUUGGAUUUGAUAGUUCUUCUUUGUUCCUUCAUUUUAAGAUUUGGUCUGAAAGUGAUUGAUCAGCU
rnacentral:lncRNA from 1 species